GACGAACGCUGGCGGCGUGCCUAAUACAUGCAAGUCGAACGCAGUGGGGACGGGUGAGUAACACGUGGGUAACCUCCCAUCAGAGGGGAUACCACUUGGAAACAGAUGCUAAACCGCUACUGAUGGAUGUACCCGCGGUGCAUUAGCUAGUUGGUGAGGUAACGGCUCACCAAGGCCGCGAUGCAUAGCGUACUUGCGAGUGUGCUCGUCAACACUAGGACGGAGACACGGCCCAGACUCCUACGGGAGGCAGCAGUAGGGAAUCUUCGGCAAGGGACGAAAGUCUGACCGAGCAACGCCGCGUGAGUGAAGAAGGUUUUCGGAUCGUAAAACUCUGUUGUUAGAGAAGCGGUAUCUAACCAGAAAGCCACGGCUAACUACGUGCCAGCAGCCGCGGUAAUUC
rnacentral:rRNA from 1 species